rnacentral:lncRNA from 1 species
CCAAUACACAAGUUCACUGAUGUACAUGGUCUAAGUAUUAAGUAUUGUAAGUGAACUAUUAAUGAUCAUACUUCAAAAUUCGAUUUUCUUGGCAGUUUGAUUUGUCAAGUCGCUGCAACAUAAACGAAAUCCUGACAUGUGCCUAUGUCACGAGAUUAGCCUCGAAAACCAAAUAACCCAAGAACGUGCAGCUAAACAAACAAAAAAACAAAGUUUACUAGUGGAACUGAUUAAGCAGGGUUUUAAUUCGUUUUUAGUUUAGAUUUCAACAUUCAAGAAAGCAAAAUUCACAGCCUGUUUCAUAAGACCAGUUGCAAAACAACAGAGGUCAAGCAAGACUCGGCCAAAUUCUUGAGUCCUUUCUAGUAGAUAGCACACACUCAUACAUAUACAGAGAGAGAGAGAGAGGGCUCAGACUUAAUCAGAUCAGUUACAAAACCCAAUUGGAAAAAUUGAUAUUCAGUUGGUGAAGCAGGAGGAUCCUAAUUGGAUUAUUCAUUAUUCUUUCACACAAUGAGUGAGUAUCCUGGAUUCAUAUUUUGAAUUCCUUGAGGAUCAUCAAUGUGUAUGGCAUUGACAAACAGACAAAAUCCAUUAUAUCAAUUUUAACCACUAACCGCAGAUUACGUACACCUAUGGUUAUAGAGACGCAUUGAGAUAUGUGAUAUCUCACUCCUACUGACUCAAGUUUCUAGUAAACAAAACAAAACACGCAAAUUUGGAAUCUUUUGUGUGAAUCAGAGUCUAUAUGCACACUGAUACAAUGAUAGAGAGAGAUAGAGAGAGAGAUGACCUGGAAGACGUUGAGAGCGUAGGCAAGUGAGAGAAGAGAAGAGACUUUUACCAAAAAAAAAAAAAGUGAGAGAAGAGAGGCCAAGUUGGAAGAAAGACCGAAGAAACGAUUCUUGUUACGAAACGGCGUCGCAGAUGCGUUUUAGGGAGCUUCGCUAAUGCUAACAUACGCCAUUGCCAGUUUGCC